AUGCUGAAAAAUCAGAGUGAGGUUGGAUUAAUGACCAGGUGGCACUCCCGUGAAUUAGAGGGGUAUGUCGCUCUGGAUUUCCUGAGUACACCCCCGAUCUUUCCUGCUCCUUGCAAACUCACCCACGUGUUCAGCAUGAUGACUGCAAAGACCCAGCACCUCAGUGGGGCGGAUUCUUUACCACUGCACCACCUGGGAAGCUCCUUCCUGAAUCUAGAGCAUGAAAACUAACCGCCACUAAAAACACCAGCAUCUCAAGAUGAAAGCAUUCUAUUGGCCAAUUGCCCAUUGUCUGAAUUGAAAGGAUCAGGAAUGCGGGAUAUCUACGAGGGCCAAGAACAUCUCAACAUGGCAUUUCCACUUCUGAAAGGGGAAGCAAAUGAAACUCUGUAAAACCUGAUGUCUUUUUCUCGAAUACACCCUCAGCUGAACAAAAUGAAUCAUGUUUCCAUAACACUUCUUUUUUGCAUCUUGGUAUAUG
rnacentral:lncRNA from 1 species